rnacentral:rRNA from 1 species
UAGGUCCACGUACGUACGAGGUUAGGUACGAGUACUGGCUCAGAACGAACGCUGGCGGCGCGUUUAAGCAUGCAAGUCGAGCGGCAAGGGCCUUCGGGCCCCUAGAGCGGCGGACGGGUGAGUAACACGUGGACAAUCUGCCCCCCGGCCCGGGAUAGCCCAGGGAAACCUGGAUUAAUACCGGAUGAGACGGGACCCGCGAUGGCGGGACCCGGGAAAGGCGCUGCGGCGCCGCCGGGGGAUGAGUCUGCGUCCCAUUAGCUAGACGGCGGGGUAACGGCCCACCGUGGCGACGAUGGGUAGCCGGCCUGAGAGGGUGGACGGCCACAUUGGAACUGAGACACGGUCCAGACUCCUACGGGAGGCAGCAGCUAAGAAUCUUCCGCAAUGGGCGAAAGCCUGACGGAGCCGACGCCGCGUGAACGAAGAAGGCCGUGAGGUUGUAAAGUUCUUUUCGGGAGGGGGAACAACCGUGGCAGGGAAUGGCCGCGGGAUGACGUGAAUCCCGGAAUAAGCCCCGGCUAACUACGUGCCAGCCGCCGC